rnacentral:lncRNA from 1 species
GGUCUGGAUACUACUUGCAUCUCACCCCUGGUGAGGGUUCCCCUAAGCUGGCCGGGCCUCCAAGAGGGCCUUCUGCCCAGCACGUAGCCCACCACUCCUCCCACACACGUGAGCCAGCCAUACCCUGGCAGGCCCUGCCACCUUCUCUGAACUGAUUCAGCCUGGUAAGGCCUCCAAGAGCGCUGGGAACAACAGACGCGCAGACCUGCGGACAGACAGGAGACAGGGUAAACACCGAUGACUCCCAGAUCUACAGCUCCAGGCUGUUCCCUUCUCCGUGUCUCAUAUCAGCUUUGCCAACUGUUUAUUGGACAUCACCGCCUGAGUAUCCCUGAGGGACACGAUUAUCCUGUUUGGAGUGUAUUGAACUUCUUGGAUACAUCGAUUAGUGUCUUUCCUCAAGUUUGAGUAAUUUGCAGUCAUUUUUCCUUUGAAAAUUCUUUCUUCUCUAUUCUGUUUCUCUCCUUGUUGAACCCCCAUCAUGCAUAGGUGUGCUCUGUUCAUUUUUCACAUUACUUUUAUUUUUCUGCUCCUCGGACUGAAUAAUCUCAAUUGACCUAUUUUAAGUUCACUGAUUCUUUUGCCUGCCCAAACCUACUGUUGUACCCCUCUAGUGACUUUUAGUUAUUGUACUUUUCAAAUAAAGAAUUUCUAUUUAUUUUAUAAUUUCUACAUCUCUUUGUAUUUUUACAUCUUUACUGAUAUUGUGUAUUUGCUGAGACA